AAUCUAAAAGCAUGGAUGCCAUCAGGUCUCUGGCUUCCGUUUCUUAUGCUGCUGUUGAUUUUUUCCGACCAUCAGCUCAGAGACUGAUAGAAGAGAAAGGGGCAGUGGAUGCAUUGGCUGCAGCUUUAGCCCACAUUUCUGGUGCAUCAAGCUUCGAACCACAAUCUUUGAUCACCUCUGAUAAGGGGUUUGUGACCAUGACUCUGGAAAGCCUAGAGGAAAUACAGGAUGUCAGCUGUGCUUGGAAAGAACUUAACAGAAAGCUGAGUAGUAAUGCAGUGUCUCAGAUUACCAGAAUGUGCCUCCUGAAAGGAAAUAUGGGUGUUUGCUUUGAUGUUCCCACAACUGAGUCAGAAAGGUUACAGGCAGAGUGGCAUGAUUCCGACUGGAUACUCUCAGUGCCAGCCAAAUUACCUGAAAUUGAAGAAUAUUAUGAUGGAAACACAUCUUCUAAUUCUAGACAGAGAAGUGGCUGGUCAAGUGGUCGAUCGGGUCGGUCAGGCCAGUCAGGUGGUCGAUCUGGUGGCCGGUCAGGUAGACAGAGUCGACAAGGGAGUCGCUCAGGAAGUCGACAAGAUGGUAGAAGACGAAGUGGGAAUAGGAAUCGAUCAAGAAGUGGGGGCCACAAACGGAGUUUUGACUGAGUAUUUGAUAGUUAAUCUACCAGUGUGAGCUUGCCUAUUUCUGCCUAAUCAUGUACAUUAUCCACCAAAAAUUAGGUCAUCAUAGUUGAGGUAUGUGUCUGCUAUUUGCAAAGAAGUUGGUCGUAUUUUUUUAAAAAGUAUUUCACAAGAAUGGUUGUAAACAAAUCUACUUAUCCAGUUAUACCUUUGAAUAAAAAACCCUCCUUUUAUUGUCUCUUUUCAAAAAAAAAAAAAAA